rnacentral:tRNA from 1 species
ACCUGGCUGGCUCAGCUUGUGGGGUGUGUGACUCAUGAUCACAGGGUCGUAGGUUCGAGCCCUAUGCUGGGUG